GUUGUGGUAUGUCGUGUAUCGAAUGUCAGUGUGAAAUGUGUGAUUUGCAAAUUUUUUACUUUUUCGUUCGAGUAUAUUUCGACGAAGAAAAGCCUGCUUUUGACAGAUUUUCGUUAUAUUUUUUAUUGGACAAGUGACUCCGAACCUGCCAAAGGCUUAUUUGAUCUCAGGUAUGAAAAAUAAUUGUUUAUAUCAUCUAAUUACAACGUCCAUUCGUGGUUGUUGUUGCUGCUGCUAAAAUUUGAAUUUGCACGCGCGAGAAUUCGUACGUAGUUUUAUAUUGAAGUUAUUUCAUUUCAAUGCCGUCAAAUAUUAGUUAAAAUCAACAAUUCAAAUUUUGAAUAAACACAUUAUAGUAAAUACUGGGUUUUGCACUUGUUUGGCUUUCCCCAAAGCAUGUUUGAAACCACAUAGUAUAAAACUAUAUGUGAAUAUGAAUAAUGACAUGCAGUUGUCAUUAUUCAUAUUCACUUAGGUUGUCUGCAUCAAGCCUCGAAGUCAAAACAUGAAAAUUAUUUGUGAGUUUCAAUUUAUCAGGGCACAUUAUGUCUUAAAGGGUUAGUGCUGCCCACAAUAUGGUAAAAAGUAUAAACAGUAAAACUUUGCUAGCUUGAGCUUGAAGGAUUCCAAUCCAAACCCUUGUAGAGUUUACAUAUUGUAUGUUUAUGAUGUUAUGGUUUGUAAUCCAAGUGAGAAUAUAUACAUUUUAAGACCUAACCAGGAACGACUGCGAAAAAUGCAGUACAAGGUCCUUUGAUAGGAAUUGAACCCACAGCCCUGCGAUUCCGGUGCAGCACUCUAACCAACUGAUAUUAAUUCCAGCAAGUGGUGUGCAAGAAUCUAAGUUAUUCAAGUCCACCUUUACAUAUUGUAUGUGCCUGUUUACAUGUAUGUGAUAAUGGCAUGGCUGGACAGGAGGUUUUAAUCCAGUCUUGCUGAGAAACCUGGCUAAGCAAAAUAGACAGGAUACAUGCACCCCAUCUGGCAGGGAUGAUAGAGUGCUUACUGUAUAUGAGAAUUUCACGUCUUGGCAGGUAGGAUCCCGGCAACAAGUAAUGAGGUCUCACCUAAGCCAAAUAGAGGUAGAAUCAUUCAUUUUACUGUAAACACUCUAAAUAGAGUUCAUAUUGCAGGAGGGAUCAUAAAACUAGUAUUCUUUUUACAAGUGCUGACAUCUUGUAUUUUUGUUGCCAGCAUACCUAUUACAGCCAACUUACAGACAAGGGAAAGCUGCUUAAAAUUACUACAUGGUGAGUAUGAUUAUAGAGAUUCCUUAUAGGUAGAUUUUACCCUAGAAUAUUGACUUAGAUGAUUACUCAUUAGAGUGAGUGGAAGUCAAAGCUUUCCAUUCUGCACUCAAAAGCACAGUAUCAAAUGGGUCAUUUCAGAAAACAUCCAUACCGCCCCCACGGAGGAAAUAGGAAGUUAACCCCCUACCCCCUUCGGAUGUCCUAAUACAUUUACUAUUAUCAGAAACAAUUUUUUCUCCCCUCCCCCUCCGGACGGCAGAAAUUUCCUUCGUGGGGGGAGUAUGGAUCUUUUCUGGAACGACCCAAUAUGAAUACUGGGUUGAUGCCAAAUUAUUGUCUUCUGUCUAUCAAGACUCGAGUGGAGAGUGCUAAUGUAUUGAUGGUCAUUUAUAAGACAAAUCAUAAAUUAAUCUAGAGAGAGCUUUCUUUGUAUUACAUGCACAUUGGCUUUUUAUCACAUUUCUGGUAGCCAAUGCUGAAUGAACAAAAUCCAUGGAUUGAGUUGCAUUGCAUCUUGAUACACCCCGCUUUAUUAUUUUACCCUGUCUAAUGCCAGACGAUUUUACUUGUCAAGGGGAGAACACUGGUACUUAAUGGAUUAAAGACAAUAAAAUAGGGACGUAGGCACAUUAACCCAUUAAUCACCAGCACUCCCACUCACUAAUAUGUCUGGCAAUUGACAUUAGACAGGAAUACAAUAAAGUAGGAGUGCAAUGCAACUUCAUGGGUUAACAUUUUCCUGUGUGACCAUGAUUUCUGGGUAGUGAUGCACCAACUAAAUUGAAAUGUCAGUAAUUUGAUGUCAUCUUUGAAUUUUGUGUAACGACAUGGAAUAUCGGUGUCAGUAUCUGAAAAAUAUCAGUCUUUCAGUAUCGGUUAUCGGAAUAUCAGUGAACCUUACACGACUAUUUCUGGGUUAGCAUGUUACUAGCUAUAAUUUGGUAUAAGGUUGGAGCCAUAGUCAUAGUGAAUCAAAUUUUUCCUAUGAAAACAAAUAUUAAUUAAAUAAUCUAUCUGUAAUUAUUCAUUAUGUAGGAUGGAGUUUACAAUGCGAUAAAGAAUCUUUGAACAUGGUAGAUGCUUACUAAAAUGCAAGGGUGAUGUUGUCGGUACUGUACAGUAUUUGCGAUCUAAUAUGCUACUGGCUCAUUCCUGAUUCCAGAAAACAUUCAUGGUUUUACCUCAGUUUACUUGUUUAACCCAUUAUGUGACAGCACUGGCAAGUAAAACAAUAAGACAUUAUGAUAUUCAUAUAUACAGUAAAUGUGUUGCUGUGCAUGCAUAUUUUACACAUAAUUUUUUGUAGUGACUAGUGGUGGGUAUUGUCACACCAAAGUGCCCAGCACCUUGUAAA
rnacentral:lncRNA from 1 species